CUUGAAACUGAAAGAUAAGGGGAAAGCGGAUUCGCCAGCUCACUCGCUCGCUCACUCAUUCAGCAGAUCUUUGGAGGCACAGACCAGGUUCCAGGCUGUCCUCCAAACUCCUAGGAGAGAGAUCAAAGCUCAGGAUAGCGAAGGAGAAAGACACAAGGACAGAAAUGGCACCCUGCGGUGUAACGGACAUUAUGGAUAACAGCUAAGGGAGCCCAGGCUUCUGAGAGGCACAAUGUCCAAAGGGGUUUUGGAGGAUCAAUAGGAGUUUUCUGGGUAAAGGAGAGAGCUGGGGAGGCUGAUGCUAAGAGAAGAAAGGGCACAUGGAACACUCAGAGUUAGGAAUGAGCCUGGUGAGUCUGGGAACAAGCUGCUACAGACCCGUGCGGCUGCAGAGGCAGGGUGGGGAGGCGCCCUCUUUGCAAGCUGGAAUUUGGGUUCUUUUAAAGGCCAGAGAGGCUGGUUGGAAGGCAGUUCCUAGAGGAGGUGCUGCCUCAGAGGAGACUGGGGACGAGGAAGCCCCUCGUCUCAGGCACUCGUCUCGGGCCUCAGCCUGCCUCCCCCUUGAUAAUGACCAGAAACCUCACAAGUCCACACGUUGCACCAAGAGAAUGAGAUCCUUAGUCUUGUGGUCACCGUGGGCCACACUUCAUCUCUCUGAAUCCCAGUUGCUUUAUAGGAAGUGAAUUCUCCUCAGUAACUCCUCCAUUCAAACAUCUAACCAGUCACCAAGGCCCACUGAUUUCACAUACCUAGUGUGUUUCCUUCCUUUUAGUAGAGGCCACCAGCCUAUCUCACCUUGAAACUGUCAGAGUCCCUUGCUUCUCAUGGCCUCUGUGACAGGGGUCCAUUGAGAGCCCACUACAGAUAUUUAGAUUUUUGAGGCACAAACAACUUUUGCAUAUUAUUCUUUGGUGGAAACAACCCAAUUGUCCCUCAACUGGUGAAUGGAUAAACAAACUGUGGUAUGUCCAUUCAAUGGAAUAUUACUUAGUCAUGAAAAUCAGUGAGGUCCUUAUACAGGUACAACAUAAAAGGACCUUGAAAAUAUUAUGCCAAGUAAAAUAGUCAGACACAAGUGGCCAAUUAUUAACAAUUCCAUUUAUAUGAAGUGCUCAGAAUAAAUACAUCCAUAGUGGUCGCUUAGGGCUGGGGAGGGAUGACAACAUAGGUGGAUGAUGGCUACAAGGUAUAG
rnacentral:lncRNA from 1 species